AGCUCCAAUAGCGUAUAUUAAAGUUGUUGCAGUUAAAAAGCUCGUAGUUGGAUUUCUGAGGGGAGCGACCGGUCGGCGCCCUAGUGGCGUGUGCACUGUUUGUCGGCUUCUUUCAUCCUGGUCGAGAAGGUCUCUGCUCUUUAUUGGGUGGGGUUCGGAUCGGCCACAUUUACUGUGAAAAAAUUAGAGUGUUUAAAGCAGGCGAUCGCUGUGAAUACAUUAGCAUGGAAUAAUAAGAUAGGACUUUGGUACUAUUUUGUUGGUUUGCGCACCAAGGUAAUGAUUAAUAGGGAUAGUUGGGGGUAUUCAUAUUCAAUUGUCAGAGGUGAAAUUCUUGGAUUUAUGGAAGAUGAACUUAUGCGAAAGCAUUUACCAAGGAUGUUUUCA
rnacentral:rRNA from 1 species